rnacentral:rRNA from 1 species
UACGUAGGGGGCUAGCGUUGUCCGGAAUCAUUGGGCGUAAAGAGCGUGUAGGCGGCCCGGUAAGUCCGCUGUGAAAGUCGGGGGCUCAACCCUCGAAUGCCGGUGGAUACUGUCGGGCUAGAGUGCGGAAGAGGCGAGUGGAAUUCCUGGUGUAGCGGUGGAAUGCGCAGAUAUCAGGAGGAACACCAAUAGCGAAGGCAGCUCGCUGGGACGGUACUGACGCUGAGGCGCGAAAGCGUGGGGAGCGAACAGG